CAUGUACUCCCUCCGUUCGGAAUUACUUGUCGUAGAAAUGGAUGUAUCUAGAUGUAUUUUAGUUCUAGAUACAUCCAUUUCCGAGACAAGUAAUUUUGAACGGAGGGAGUAUCUC
rnacentral:pre_miRNA from 1 species